rnacentral:lncRNA from 13 species
GGGAAGCAGGGCAGGGCAGGAGAUGGUGCUAAGAGAGAUUGUGUUUUCUAGGUGAAAUUGAGCUUCAGCCUGAUCCCAUAGGGAACUCUGGUGUAUAAACAGCUUUACAGAACUGAUACCACCUUAAGGCAAGGAGGCUAGCCCUGUGGGCAGAAGCCAGGUGAUGGGUGCACUAGCCUAGGCAGGGAGAUGAAGGCUUGGUACCAACAGCAUCAACUACCUAAAGAUAGACUAUGCAGAAAACUGAGAAAAGAAGUGAAGUGCAUUUGGGCUCUGCAGGAAUAGGCUUCCUCUCCUCCUUUCUGCAUACCUGCUCUAGUCUUCCCUCAUAGACUCUAGUAUGACUCCACUGGGCCCACACUAGAUUCAUGAACUAAAAGGCAGUUCACAUACAGCCUGGUAUGUUAGUUAUGUGAUAUUGUUUGGCUGUUCCCCACUGAAAUCCCAACUUGAAUUGUGUCUCCCAGAAUUCCCAUGUGUUGUGGGAGGGACCCAGGGGGAGAUAAUUGAUUCGUGGAGCCUGGUCUUUCCUGUGCUCUUCUCAUGAUAGUGAAUAAGUCUCAUGAGAUCUGAUGGGUUUAUCAGGGAUUUCUCCUUUUCUUCUUCCUCAUUUUAUCUCUUGCUGCCACCAUGUAAGAAGAGCCUUUUGCCCCUCGCCAUGAUUCUGAGGCCUUCCCAGCCAUGUGAAACUGAACAGAAGCCUGCCUCUGCAUGGGAUCCCACUGAGUUCUCAGUGUGUACGUGCAAUUUUUUCCUUUUGCUGGGGGAAGAGUAUCUGUGAGUAUCUGACCUAACACAGAGCUAGCCCCAAGAUGCAGAGUCCUUAAGAACAUCCACGGGGGAAGGGCAGAUUUGUAGCCUGUUGGGCCUGGGCAUUUGUACGAUCUGCCAGGGAGGGCCCAGGACGGGCUGCCAUCAUUUCUUCACCAAAUAGAGGAUGAACUACUGACUGGGUAGAGUGGUUUCUCACUCCUGCUUAUCCCAGGGAGAGACGGGUGGCUGGAAAGUAGGGAAAAGUAUAAAGGAGCAGUAUCUUUGUUUAGGUUCUUCCAAAAGCAGACGCUGAGAUAAGGAUUUGGGGGAAGGUAGUUUGUUUGCGAGGUGAUCCUGGGAAGUACAGUGAAUAAGGGAAUGGGGAAGGUGGAAAGUGUCAUCAGUGAGUGAGUUAUUGACUGGUAGCACUUUGGGUAACUGGGGCUCAGUUCUACCGGGGAUCCUCUGAGCAUAUGUUUGACAUACAUCAUAAAUGCUCACCAAGGGGCAAAGAAGCUGGGCAUUUUCCACUGGCUCCUGCCUCUCAUUGGUUAAGAGACACUCCUCUUUAUCUUAACCCUCUGGCAUCUCUUGUAUUCCUGGGCUAUCACACACACUGGCUGAGCUUGUUAUUCAGAAACUAUGUAGCCAUAUGUAGAAAGAUACAGGUGCUUGAGGAGGAACCUUCUUAAUGGAUGGGAACAGUCCACUGUAGCUGUAGGAUCUUUGGGGUGCCAAGGGGAUGUGGGAGGUGCUGGACAGUAUGUGCCACAGACACACCAAGCAUCAGUAUCAGGGCAGGUUUUCCUUGCUGCCAUCUUUGAUUUUUAACUCCUUUCUCACAGGUUUUCUGCAACCUUGAAUCUGCUCACUCCUUUGGAAAGAAUCUUGAAUUUUCACAGAGGAACAGCAGUAUGAAAAUAAAAACACUUCUGACUGCUUACUAAAUGCA